rnacentral:rRNA from 1 species
GACGAACGCUGGCGGCGUGCUUAACACAUGCAAGUCGAACGGAAAGGCCCUGCUUUUGUGGGGUGCUCGAGUGGCGAACGGGUGAGUAACACGUGAGUAACCUGCCCUUGACUUUGGGAUAACUUCAGGAAACUGGGGCUAAUACCGGAUAGGAGCUCCUGCUGCAUGGUGGGGGUUGGAAAGUUUCGGCGGUUGGGGAUGGACUCGCGGCUUAUCAGCUUGUUGGUGGGGUAGUGGCUUACCAAGGCUUUGACGGGUAGACGGCCUGAGAGGGUGACCGGCCACAUGGGGACUGAGGUACGCAGCAGACGCCUACGGGAGGCAGCAGGGGGGAAUAUUACACAACGGGCGGAAGCCUGAUGCAGCAACGCCGCGUGCGGGAUGACGGCCUUCGGGUUGUAAACCGCUUUCGCCUGUGACGAAGCGUGAGUGACGGUAAUGGGUAAAGAAGCACCGGCUAACUACGUG